AUGUUUCCUUUUUUCACUUAAACUUUGGUAGGAAACAAACUAAAGCAGACAAACAUUUCUUGUUGUGUUUGUUGCUUUCUUUAAUCCAAUGGAUAAAAAAGUAAAACCCUGUAAACAUUAUUUUAUUUUUUUAUGCAAUACCAUGCUGUAAAUAUGGUUCAUCAAAUAAGGAUGUACCUAUGAUUGAAUCUUUAAUUCUGCACAGUUAGAGUUUAUAUAUAAACGUGUCUUGACAAUCAAGGACUUUUAUGUGAGUCUUCCUUUAUGAUGUUUAUUAAUGUUAUGCAUUCCAUUUGUUUUGAAGUGAGUACCAAUGUGCUAAUUUGUAUUGUCUGAAAGUAUGUAAUGUUUUUACAGCUUGUUUUUAAGAAUCUGUAAAUAUGUACAAACAAAUCACAGUACUGCUUUAUGUUAGAAGGCAUAUGAUGUUGUACUGUAUGUAAGCAAUAAUACAUAGCAGUGCUAACUUUACAAGUAGCAUCAGGAAAGUUCUAAAAACAUUUCAGAGUUAUUAUCUUUAUUUCAUUUAAUAAUGAUUAUCUUUAAUCAGUUUUUAUAAGCAAAUUCCAUUGUUCCUCCUAUUGGAACGUAACACUGUUUACACAGCAUAAUUGAAGUUGCAGGGGAGACAGGCUAAAUCUGACUUCAUCUGUACUCACUUUCACUAAGCAUUGAAUGGCCUUACCACUCUUCUGCAAGAUGGAGGAAGACCGCAAAACUUAGUGCCCAUCACACUGAAGGAAGGGGGUGUGUUUUUUUUUCCUGCUUCUGUACUGCUAUCUAACUUUGUGGUUUGCUUUGAAUUUUAAUAUUUGUUUCUGUUUUAGAUUCAAGCCCAUAAGUUUUGAGGUGACUUCAGCUCCAUUGUGAAAUAGUUCUCUUCAUAGUUCAUAGCUACAUUUCAAUAAUUCUCAACUUUCUACUUUGAUUUUUAGAUACUUAUUUUUCAACCUUGAUUUCUCAGCUGAUCAGAUGAAUUUAUUCAACUUCAAUACAAAGAAAGACAAACCUAUUGUAGUUUGAAUUGAGUAGAUAUUAUACUGUACAGAACAGCUAACUAUUUGAACACACACAUCACUGCUUUAGAAAUAAAACCGCCAAUUUAUAAAUGUAUAUGACCUACAUUUUAUAGGAAAAAUGUUUUUAAAUGCUAGUCAUUUAUAUAAUGUGCUUUGAAGGAUUUGCUAGUCCCACUUCUGUCACUUUUUAGUACACUGGUAUCUUUUAUAUGUAAUGUAUGCUUUUUAUUAUUGUAGCAAAGCAUUUCAGUAGAAAGAAUUUUGCAACAAUAUGGGGGAAAUUUUUCAUUGUUGGAUUUGAAUUAUACUGGAUUUUAUCUGUGUAGUCUUACUUGUCUUUAUUUUAAUGCUGUCUGGAAGGGAACUUGGUAUCCAAAUAAAGCAGGUAACCUCAUUUUACUUCAAGGGCAUACUGUGUAGUGCUGAAUUUAAUCUGGAAAUCUGAUGAUUUUGAAAAGGAAAACAAGUUUAUAAAAAUUGUACAGAAGAAAUUAAAUGUGUAAUGGAAAUCCUGAUGGUGGAGCACGUUGAAUUUUCUGAUAUAUAAUGUUAUUUUCCUGGGAUCCCCUAUGCCUUCUUUGUAUUUCAACUAAUAAAAAAAAAACCCUGUCAUCGAAACUGGUAGGAUAAUAGAAUAUUCUGAUUAUACAGUAUUACUUUUUCCUAUCCUAUUUUCUGACCUUUCUCAAUCACUGUAAAUUUUAUUUUCUAUUUCCUAUUGCUAAUUAAACAUGUACAUAAUAUAGACACUGUUGUAUAGAACUGAAUGAAUUGGGUUGCUAUGCUUGAAUGGGUAACUAAGAAAUAGAGAUACUGAGAAUUUCUAAAAUGCCAAAACAGAUUUACAGGAGAAAAGGGGCAUCAUGUGUCCCAGGAAGGUCACAGCCGAUGUUUCUUCAGCCCUCUGGAAAAUCAGUGUGAAAGAGCUGCAAACUCAGUAUCUGACACAAGUGGGUCUUUCCUUCCCCAUCUCCCCUCCAAAUAUACGAGCACUAAAUUUCAAAGUCUACUCAGGUGAAAAUUGCUUUGCAAUGAAACUUAUCACAUUGAAAUUUUCACUGUUAAAAGAUAUUUGUGAUAUUUUUAAAUACAAACUCACAUCAGUAGUCAGCAGCCUGGCAAUUGAAAUUCGGUAAGUCAAUAUAUUUUAAACUACAUUUUGCCCUCCAAAUAGGAUUGUUUUUAAACAAUUGGGAGGACUUUUUGUUGUUGUGUAAAUGCAUUUUUUAUUGUCAUUGUAAAAAUAAAAUUUUGCUUGAUCCCAUAUUAUGCCAUUAAUGAAUUGCUGAGCCUUUAUAAUACAAUGAAAGCUUGUUUCAUGUGUAAUCAUGGAACACAGAAAUGUUCUUUAAACUGACCUAUUCAUUAAGAGGGUUAAUGACUUUCACAGCUUCUGGCACUAUUGUCAUACAGUUAACCUUGCCAUUUGGAGUUUAUAAUACCAUUUAAUGUAUUGUGAUACUAAAGGAAGUUGUUUUAUUUUUAAUUGAAUUAUUAGACUAAUUUAUAUUUGCAAAUUCUGCAUUUUAAAUGUGGACACUGGCUGUUUGAAAAAUAAAAUACAGAAUACAGUUUUAUGAAUAAUUUCCUAGCUGAAUUUUUCACAGUAUUCUUAAUCAAAUAACUAAUGGUGAAUAUUUUAAAAGCGUGGUAAGAUUAAUAUUAAAAGGAGGAAAAAGGAUGUUUGUAUGGAAUUAGCAGUUUGUUAAAACAGAAGUUGGGUAACAAUUAGUAAGGCCUUUACUAUAGCUUUGUAUAGAAUGUUAUUGAUUAGGUAGAUCUAAAAUGUAGGAGUCAAAUAUUACUGCCAUCCACUAUUUAGACUUGAAAUGUGUUUUAACACAGAGCUAAGGAUAUAUGUGAUCUUUUUUCUUUAUAGAUUUAGUUAAGAUUUCUUUAAGGUUUAGUUAACCUAUCACUAUAUGUGGGAUUUUUGUUUCCAUUAGUGAAAAUGUGUUUUCAUCCAUUUGUCUCUGCCAGCCCCCCCUCCCUAUUUUGUGACCAUUAUAAGAAAGCUUUCUGCGGUCUGGAUCCUUGGGAUAAAUGGAAACUAAUUGGCUUUUGCAGAGGUUAAUUCUAGGACCCUGACUUUAUUAGGAUGGUGCUUUAACCAAUUAUGUGUAGUAAUACCACCCAUAGUCUAUUAAUCCAUUUCCUAGAUUGGAGUUUUUCUUGAAAGGUGAGGAAUGGUAGGGAAGAAGGGUGGUGAGACAAUUCUACCUGAUAGUUCUCCCACCUUCUGAAGAUUACAAGGAAAAAUUGAAGCCACUUGAAUUGAUGUUAUGUUACUAAGUCUUAUUUUGACAGUUAUCAUGCACAAAAGGCACAUGAAGAUCUCUAUGACUGUAUGUUUGGAUAGAGUUAAAAAAAUUUUUUUCGUAGUGCUGGCAAUUCCCCCUCUCCUCACUUUGAUGAACCUGAUAUAGCAUUGGAAUAAAUUAUAUAUUCCUUUGAUGGAUAAAGAGUCAAUGGAGUGGAAGAGUUUUAAGUGAACUAAAGGUAAAUUUUGACUCAUAGUUUUGUCAUUUUCAAAUGGCUUCAAAAGGACAUUUAUAGUAAAACAUGUUACAAACACACUCAUGCAGAUGUAUAUACAUAGGAAAGAGCUGAGAUGUGAAAUGUGAUGCUACAAAUGAGAAUGACAUUUUCAAAGUGGUGUUCAAACUACUGGGACAACUCAAGUUUAGAAAUGGACUUGAAUUAUAGAGAACAUUUGAGCCUUUGCGUAUUUACCCAUUUAUAUAGACGAGCUUUUUUUUUUUUUUUUUUUUUUUUUGUCGUUUUGCCUUUGCUAGGGCCGCUCCUGCGGCAUAUGGAGGUUCCCAGGCUAGGGGUCUAAUCGGAGCUGUAGCUGCCAGCCUACGCCAGAGCCAUAGCAACGUGGCAUCCAAGCCGCGUCUGCAACCUACACCACAGCUCACAGCAAUGCCGGAUCGUUAACCCACUGAGCAAGGCCAGGGAUCGAAUCCGAAACCUCAUGAUUCCUAGUCGGAUUCAUUAACCACUGAGCCACGACGGGAACUCCCAGAUGAGCUUUUAAUGUUGUAACUUUCUUAAUUUUCCCUAGCUUUUCCCAUUCUUAAUAAGAUUCUGAAACUAUGAUACCUGUGUCAAGGUGGCGAAGAGGGCCAAAGAAUGUUUUAUCUGUGAUAGUAAUUGUGUUUGCUGUUGAUUUGAAUCCUUACUUGUGGGGGCAUAAUAUUCAGCAUUGAUCACAUGCUUAGUAACAGCAUUGUGCUAGCUGCAAAUAAGAGAUGGUUGAGACUACUACCAUCUUUAUUUGAGCAUCUGCAAGGUAAAAUGGUAUCAAUUGCUGGAUACAGUAUUGUAUUUUAGAUUAUUAAAGCAAAUACUCAGUGUUAUGUGUUGGGUGCUGUGCUGAGUAAUUCAUAUGUCAUUCCUCAACAAAUGGGUAAGUAGUAGUGUUUGUAAUUUUAAGAUAGUUUUCUAGACAAUUUUAGAAAAUUGGUUACAGAAGAUAGAAAAUAUAUACAGACAAAUACAGUGGAAGUAGAGAACAUUGUUAAAAAUCGCCCCCUAAUUAAGUAACUCAUGAAUAGGAUUCAGACCUGAGCUGUGAAAAUGAGGUGUAAGUAGGCUUUGUUCAGAAGGAAUCAACCUGUUACAGAAAUGGGAAAUUAAUUUCCUGUAGGGAUUCAUGAACCUGAGGGUAAAAAUGCACUAGAGGACCACCUAUGCCUCUUUGGAUGUCGGAAAUGGAUGCUGGAGGGUUCUUUCCUGGAAGUAGGGGAACCAGUGCUUUUAGUCAUUGGAGCACUGUCUUCAUGGAACAGUAUUGAUACUCUUUUAAAUCCAGUGAAAUGACACUCCUGGUCGGUAUUGCCAGACCGUGAGUAUCACACUCUUCAUGUCAGGUAACUUCCACUAGCCCCUAAUUAUCUGAUGUCCUCUUUUCCUUAACUGUGUCCUUCAAGGUGUUGAGGCCACUGUAAAAUUUACCUUUCACCUUCCAAUUUGUUUCUUUAUGGGAACUCCAGCACUGUUGUGUAACUUUUCUCAAUGAAUGUAUGAGGGUUAAGACUGGUUGCUAGAGCAUGAAAUUAAAUGUUAGAGGACACAACGAGUAAAGGCAUUCAGAACAACUCAGGACUCCAGCCUCGUCCUAUGAAGUUUCUGGAGUUGGCCCUCAUGAUUUGAGAGCAGAUGAAGGCAGUCAAAGGAGGCAUAAGCAGCACUGCAUGGGACAGCUUUAAGCUGUGUGCAGUUUUGCUGAGGAUGACUGUGAAACAGCAGGGGCAUAGUUUGGUAAUACUCCACAUGGGCGGAUAAGGAGCAGUGAAAUGAGCAAGGGACUUAAGACUUUCAAGUUCUGGCUCUACCUGGAUCUAUCGGUAUAGCAUUGUACAAGUCUCAGUUUUUUCAUCUGUAAAAUGGGCAUAAUAAAAAUUCCUAU
rnacentral:lncRNA from 1 species